rnacentral:lncRNA from 1 species
GACCUGUAAGAAUCGGCGGCAGCGACAGCGAAAAGGGCGGCGAGGAUCAAGAACUAAUAAAAUAUGGAACAUUUGACGCCAUGUAAAAGCACUUUCAUAGGCACUUUCAUGCCGAAUCGAUGACCACGAAGCGCUUCACGCUCAAAGCCAGCACAUUUUUCUGAAUUGUGUAUCCAUAUUCUGAAUGCAGUAUUGGUCCAUUGUCGUCGUGUUUCCGUGAACUAAACAGAAGAAUUCCUUUUUAUUUUAAAACAGAACCGAGAAUCCAGGAAUAUUUUAGCGCUUCCAUAAUUAAAAUAUUUAUGGUAGUACUUUGAUCGAAUUUAAUAUUUGUAUUAAAUAAUAAGUUUAGAUACACACAUUUCAGCGGUUUCAAUUACUUGCAAUUUAAUACUGGGGCUGGACUGCGGGGGCUUUGUAGACCGGAGUGGCGGUGUAAGCCGGGGCCGGGGCAGAGUAUGUG